rnacentral:rRNA from 1 species
CGUAGGGGGCGAGCGUUGUCCGGAUUUAUUGGGCGUAAAGAGCUCGUAGGCGGUUCGAUAAGUCGGGUGUGAAAACUCUGGGCUCAACUCAGAGACGCCACCCGAUACUGUUGUGACUUGAGUCCGGUAGGGGAGUAUGGAAUUCCCGGUGUAGCGGUGAAAUGCGCAGAUAUCGGGAGGAACACCAGUGGCGAAGGCGGUACUCUGGGCCGGAACUGACGCUGAGGAGCGAAAGCGUGGGUAGCGAACAGGAUUAGAUACCCUGGUAGUCCACGCCGUAAACGUUGGGCACUAGGUGUGGGUCUCAACCAACGGGAUCCGUGCCGCAGCUAACGCAUUAAGUGCCCCGCCUGGGGAGUACGGCCGCAAGGCUA